rnacentral:rRNA from 1 species
GGUCCGAUAAUGUUGGGCUUGGUUGGGAUGGCAGGUGGCUCACUGGUUCAUUCUAUGGACCGUGGGUGUAACUAGCCGGCUAUGGUAGAUUUGUACGGUGUGUCGGAGAAGGCGGCUUUGCAUACGUGCUCUGUCCUUCGGGCGAGGUUGAGUCUGGUCGGCUUGUUACUAGCUUCGGCUGGUCGGUUGAUGGCUUGAUCUUGUUCAGUUGGCGGUUGCGUGUGUGACUUGGCUUGGGCCAAUAGUCUGUGGUGUAGUGGUAGACGAUCCACCUGACCCGUCUUGAAACACGGACCAAGGA